rnacentral:rRNA from 1 species
GCAUAUCAAUAAGCGGAGGAAAAGAAACCAACAGGGAUUGCCUCAGUAACGGCGAGUGAAGCGGCAACAGCUCAAAUUUGAAAUCUGGCCCUCGGGUCCGAGUUGUAAUUUGUAGAGGAUGCUUUUGGCGCGGUGCCUUCCGAGUUCCYUGGAACGGGACGCCUUAGAGGGUGAGAGCCCCGUACGGUUGGACACCAAGCCUCUGUAAAGCUCCUUCGACGAGUCGAGUAGUUUGGGAAUGCUGCUCUAAAUGGGAGGUAAAUUUCUUCUAAAGCUAAAUAUUGGCCAGAGACCGAUAGCGCACAAGUAGAGUGAUCGAAAGAUGAAAAGCACUUUGAAAAGAGGGUUAAAUAGCACGUGAAAUUGUUGAAAGGGAAGCGUUUGCGACCAGACCUUUUCCUGGCGGAUCAUCCGGUGUUCUCACCGGUGCACUUCGCCAGGUCGAGGCCAGCAUCGGUUUCCGCGGGGGGAUAAAAGCUCUGGGAACGUAGCUCCUCCGGGAGUGUUAUAGCCCUCUGCACAAUACCCCCGCGGGGACCGAGGACCGCGCUCUAAGCAAGGAUGCUGGCGUAAUGGUUGUCAACGACCCGUCUUGAAACACGGACCAAGGAGUCGAACAUUUGUGCGAGUGUUUGGGUGUCAAACCCUCACGCGUAAUGAAGGUGAACGUAGGUGAGAGCCCUUACGGGUGCAUCAUCGACCGAUCCUGAUGUCUUCGGAUGGAUUUGAGUAAGAGCAUAACUGUUCGGACCCGAAAGAUGGUGAACUAUGCGUGGAUAGGGUGAAGCCAGAGGAAACUCUGGUGGAGGCUCGCAGCGGUUCUGACGUGCAAAUCGAUCGUCAAAUCUGCGCAUGGGGGCGAAAGACUUWUCGAACCAUCUAGUAGCUGGUUACCGCCGAAGU